AGAGUUAUAGACUAUAGUUAUAGACUGUUUAUGAACAUGUUUAUUUGCUCUAUCUGAAAUGUUCUUGUCACUUUUUUUAAGAGUUGCUCUUUAAGAGGUUGACUGUUAAAAGGGACCUGUCCAGUCAGACUGACUGCUUGUCUUUGGACUGGACCUUGUCGUCCACCAGAGUCUUAAACUUGUGUCUUGACAGAACUGGCUGUUCCUGUGUUCCUGGUGCUGUGUGCACCGCUCUCCCGGUGUUUUCCAGUAACUUCACGUGGAAACACACCUGCUCAGUUUUACUGCACAGAACCUGCACAGAACAGUUUGACUGCACAGAACCACAGCUGACUGCAAUACUGCAGUUGACUGUUAAAAAGGGACCUUUCCACUUAGACUGACUGCUUGUCUCAGGACUGUGGGAGGAAGCCUGAACCCACACAGGCAGCGGAACAUGAAGACAUCACACAGAAGGGAGACUGAUUUUUCUUUUUUUGAUGAAAACAACAAGAAGUUCAGUGACAUAUCGUACUCGAUGACUCAUACCUAGAGAAAGCUGUUUUUGAGGUGAUGACAUUUUAACAGAAAGUUUGAAGGGAAUCAGGCGCAAAAAACAACUACGGUAAAUUCCCUAGAAUGAAAAACUAAUUUCCGUCCAUUCGUGACGAAAAAAUGUGUUUUACACCAUUCACCAGAGUCUUACUUUGGUUUGUGCAUGUUUUGACUGAGCCAGCUGUUGUCUUGAAGGUGCAGACUGCGCAUGGUCUAAUGGUGAUUAUAGCAGUGCGCGCGUAGCGAUGCUCUUAAAAUGGAAACCGCUCCCGUGAAGAUCCGUCAUCCAGGUCCCCGUGCCGCCAGCUGAGGUGUCACGUUUCACGUAGCAGCAUCACACCACAUUGAGGGAGAAUGUUGAAACGAAUGAUUGAAACGUGGAGCAAGAAGCACGACAAGCAAACACACAUCUGAUCGCUGUCAUUUCAGGACGAUACAUUUCCACCUAACGCCAUAUGACUGAGACGCAGAAACUGUAGAAUGGUUGAGCGGCACUAAGAGAAAACUUGUCCAUGACACAACAGGUCCAAAAGAACCGGAACCGUUCUUCCAGAGACAGAGGCGGGCAGUGUUGCUGUUUCCAAAAUAACUAAUAAUAAAAUCCCCACCAUGAAAAGUAAGUUUGUCCA
rnacentral:lncRNA from 1 species